rnacentral:rRNA from 1 species
UACGUAGGGGGCAAGCGUUGUCCGGAUUUAUUGGGCGUAAAGAGCGUGUAGGCGGUUUGGUAGGUCCGCUGUGAAAACUCGAGGCUCAACCUCGAGACGCCGGUGGAAACCAUCAGACUAGAGUCCGGAAGAGGAGAGUGGGAUUCCUGGUGUAGCGGUGAAAUGCGCAGAUAUCAGGAAGAACACCCGUGGCUAAGGCGGCUCUCUAGUACGGUACUGACGCUGAGACGCGAAAGCGUGGGGAGCGAACAGG